AUAGACGCUAAUAUAUGUAUAUAUAAAUGGCCCGAUUAUUUGGACUCAAUCAUAUUGGGUUCUCACCACUUUCUUCGUUUCUUGUCUAAUGUUAUUUGUCUCCUUCUAUGAAGUUCCUUUCUUCUUUUCUUUUUUUUUUUUGGCCACGUAUGCAAACUCCGAAUUUCGAGCGAUGCCGUAGCUUCCCAUCGUUCUUGAUACUCGUCACUUUGGAAGUCACCGCCGACAGUCAUCGCUGCCGCGCAUUACCAUUGUCGCAUUUCGAAACCCUAACGGCUUUCCUACGUACUCUGCCACCUUCCGAACGCAAACGGCGCUCCCGCAUGAUCGUCACAGCAUGCGUUUGGCUUCGUUUUCACAUUUAUAUUGUUGUGUUCUUGAUAUUCUUUUUUCGGUUUUGGUCUUAAUUUUGAUACUUUGUUUUGCAAUGCAGGUGUCCAUUGCUUACAACCAUUUUGGAGAGGGAGUGCCAAGGUGCAGACACUGGUAUUUCCAUGGAGAUGUAUGCUAUUAGUGGAAGUGUUAACGCUCAAUCAACAGAGAGGUGUACAAACCAAUCCGAUUAUGCAGGAAUGAAGGUGUUCAUGAAUUUGAAGCAUUAGGAGAUUGGGCCUGUUGCAGCAACUUUUGUUCCUUUGUUCGGUUGGGUGGCUGACUGGCUCUGCGUAUAGUGUUACAUGAAGAGGACGAAUUUGAUUAAAAAAAUCUUUCGGGGACCAAUUUGGAGAACGAGUGAUCUUUCAAGGACAAAUUGGACCAUUUACCCAGAUAAUUGUUUUAAUGCUACAGCAAUGGACAUUGUAAGUUUUUUUGCCAAAUAAAUCUUCAAUGUUAAUAAUGUUUGGUUUUGUUGCCCUUUCUUUCCUUCUAAUUAUUUCAACCUGUGUCUAUCUGACUUCAAACCAUUUUUCUUUUCUAUUGAAAUGUUUUCAUUUUUCAAAUCGCAGUUUUUGUGGCACUUAUAAUUUUGUGUGUCAGAAAUGUGUGGAGACAAUUUAGAAUAACCUGGAGAAGUUGCUUCAUACUUCUCAUUUCUGAAGAAGCAGUAAACAUGAUAUUGGAGUAGCAAUCUAGCAUUGCCACUUUCUAGCCCAUUUACAACCUGAUUAUCUUAGUUCUCCUAGAAGCAUAUUUGCAUCUGUGCAUUUUCUAUAUUAAAUAUAAACUUUUACAUUGUAUUUUGAGUUCAAAAUAGCUAUGGGUAGUUCACCUUGCCAAUGCAGUGAUGUUAACUAACUUUGAUUGAACAAUUAUCGAAGAAGGUGAUAGAUAUGAGGUAAUCGCAGAGGAUCGCUUGUCAAGGUGUACUUAAUGAUGCUUGGAAUUACGUUUUACUGUCUGGAAAAGUGGAAGAGCCUGGAAUGUCUUCUGCCUAAUCCUGGGCUCUAGAAAUCUGAAUUAGCAAAGAAGAGGCCACAGUACAAACACUUAAAAGACAACUUUCUCUUGAAUCCUGAAUCACAAGGACAAUGUACAACUCAACAGUUCUGACACUGAUGAUGCCAUUUGAGUGUAGAACCUUACUCUAGAUCAGAAAUACUAGUGGGGAGAAUUCGUUGUGUCUUGGGGAGACCAAUGCAAGGAAUGAUUUCUUCCAAGUAAAUUGCACAUUUCUCUUCUAUAUGUUGAAUUGGGGGGGAAUCAAUAGAUACCUUAUUUAGCUGUUUCUUCUCUUUUUCGUUGUUCAUCUUCUUUAGAAUCCCGAUAGAAUUUUUAUUUUAGUGGAGUUCAUCAAAUUUUGCUAAGCAAAAUACUUGUUUUGUGAUCUGCACAAACCCAUGUAGCAUCCAUUCCAUUAAACUUGUUUGAUGACCCUCUGGUCCAUGAUGUUUUAUCCUUAUCAUAAGAUGCAUUGUCUGCUAGUACUUUGGUUUCACCUUUACUGUUGAUGUAUUCUUAAGUUUCUUGGACUACCGAGGGCAACCUGGGUUGGGACUUGGAUUAGGGAGAGCAAGUCAAGAUUUCAGGAUGUCGUCUUUUGUUGCUUACUGAGGGGACUGUAGAUCAGAAAUGUUAACAGAUGCAAUAUACAUUUCCUUUUACAUAAAUUGGAUAUGAAAAAUAUGUGAUUUACUUUAUAUAAUAAUCAUGUGAAUAGAUAGCAUUGGAGGAUUUAAACUCAUUUUGCUGUCAGAUACUAUUCUGCUAUACGUUUUGGUCACAAAGGGGUUGGUACUUGGAAUUGGAAGUAAUGGGGUAGUUUAAGGCAAUAUAGUGAGGACAUUGUCUAGUCCUCGGUUGUAUUGAAUCUGUUAAAUAGAUUUAUUACUAAAUUAACAAAUAGUGUUGCUCAUUGCUUCAUUCUUUUAGUGAUUUUCUAUAUGUUAAUAUUUGUUUCUUGUCCAUUAUUUUCUGCUCUUUUUAUUUUAUUUUUUUCCUCUACUGGUUUAUGUAUCUCUGCUUGUAAAGUAGCAAUGCGGUUAGUUAUUACUUAUUACACUUCAUUGAGUGCACACUACUAUUAAAGUAUUAGUCAGUUUUUCAGAAAGGUCUAAUUUGUUUUUUGUUGGUUCUAAUUGCCGGGUCAAUCUCCAAUUAGGUGGAUUACUGUGUUGACUCAAGAAUUUAACUUUGCUAACAGCCUUCACAUUUGGGACACUCUUUUAAGUGAUCUAGAAGGUCCACACAGGUAUAAUUUUGUAUGUUAUUUAUCUUGUAGUACUAUAUUGCCAUUAGCCAUAUGAUCUGUUGCCACCUCUUUGAUGAAUAUGACUGAUAUAAAUGGAAAGAGCCAUAAGAUUAGAUUUCAGUCCAACUUGCCAAACUAAUUAAAGAUAAAAAUAAGAGAAAAGCCCAAAGUCAUACACGCUGAAUAAGGGGAGUGAGUAAUGCGCUGGAAUAUAUAGGUAAUGUUGCAUUAUUGUUGAGAACUUGGAUUUCGGGAAAAGAUCCUCUAAAGUGAAAAUUUUGGUAGUAUGUUCAUCAUUUGAGUCUUACUCUUUGCUUCAAGAGUCAUUAGAGUGUAUAACUUCUUACUUUACUAACUUCCUCACUUCAGAAGAGUGACCCUUGAAUUUGAAUAAUCAAUCAUCAGCUUUGCCAUGUACUUAUUUUAUGCCACAAAUAUCAUAAGCCCUUAGACAAGUGUAAUAUGUUCCCAGAAUUGGAACCACUGAUAUCAAACUCAACAAACAUUGAUAUGUUUCCUAGCAGACGGGAGUGAGAAUCCAAGAUGGUUGGUACCGAAUCAUUUAAUGGGCAUGCACUGUUUUCAUAUGGGACCAUCACAUAUUUGGAAAAUAGGGUUGGCUUAUAUCCGUUUAUCACUCCAUUUUUAAUGUCUUUAUCAGAAAUAAAAUUGAAUAAAUUAGCACUCAUCACCAUCAUAUAUAUUACUUGCAGUCUUCAUAUUUAAGUUGAAAGGUUAUACUGAUCGAUCAAGCCCUCUUCUAUCUCUAAAGAUUGCUUGCUUGGAAUCGGAUCCAUGAGCUAUCUGCACCAUAUUUUAUAUAUAUCUUCAUCCUCUCUUAAAUAUGAAUUUCAUAUAUGCUUUAUGGCCUACAUUGAUAUCCUUAAUUAAUUUUAACUAUUUGUAUGUUAGAAGUUAGAACCGUUACAUUAAGAAUAUUAUUAGCAUUAUUACUUUAAUAGUUUAAUGUAGGAUUUAAUUAGUUCCAAUAAAAGUAUGCGUGAAGCUAGUUAUUUGUGUGAUUUUGAUCAUUUAAGAACAAUUGACAAUAAUGUUAUAUAUGUUAAAUUUGUUGAAACUAAGCGUGAGAGAUUUGAUUUGGAAAAGCUUUCAAAUCAUUGCUGGAAUGGAAGAUACUUUCACCAUCACCAAAAUGAUACUUCUCUUCCUUUCCUAAAUUCUAAAUUGUAUUAUAACAUUUUAUGUAUGUAACCAAACUUUGAAUUCCUUGGUGUUAAAUCAACUUUGAUAACGAAGUGAAGAGAUAAAGUAACUUGUAAGCACAAAAAGAUAAGUUAAAUUAAAUUGUUUAGCAUCAAGAAGCACCGACCCAGCACAUUUAUGUCGCCUAAAUUGCACACGUCUUGGUGUUUGGAAAGCAUGAUAAUGUCUAUAUGUAUGUACGCUGUAAUUUUCCACGGUAAUAUUGUUUAUACACCCAUUUGGCUGUAUUUGAUGAAUUCAUGGGGUUGGGACCCUCUCAUGGGCCAUGGACCGGAACCUACCUGUCCAAACGGAGCAAACAAUAAUUUGGCAGAAGGUUGAAGAGUAGGUCAGAUAGUAGAAAAUGCAAUAGAAAAAAAAUUCGACUCGGGGCAUUUUCUCUUUUUAGCGUAUGAA